rnacentral:rRNA from 1 species
ACAUGCAAGUCGAGCGGUAGCACAGAGAGCUUGCUCUCGGGUGACGAGCGGCGGACGGGUGAGUAAUGUCUGGGAAACUGCCUGAUGGAGGGGGAUAACUACUGGAAACGGUAGCUAAUACCGCAUAACGUCGCAAGACCAAAGUGGGGGACCUUCGGGCCUCAUGCCAUCAGAUGUGCCCAGAUGGGAUUAGCUAGUAGGUGGGGUAACGGCUCACCUAGGCGACGAUCCCUAGCUGGUCUGAGAGGAUGACCAGCCACACUGGAACUGAGACACGGUCCAGACUCCUACGGGAGGCAGCAGUGGGGAAUAUUGCACAAUGGGCGCAAGCCUGAUGCAGCCAUGCCGCGUGUGUGAAGAAGGCCUUCGGGUUGUAAAGCACUUUCAGCGGGGAGGAAGGCGGUGAGGUUAAUAACCUCAUCGAUUGACGUUACCCGCAGAAGAAGCACCGGCUAACUCCGUGCCAGCAGCCGCGGUAAUACGGAGGGUGCAAGCGUUAAUCGGAAUUACUGGGCGUAAAGCGCACGCAGGCGGUCUGUCAAGUCGGAUGUGAAAUCCCCGGGCUCAACCUGGGAACUGCAUUCGAAACUGGCAGGCUAGAGUCUUGUAGAGGGGGGUAGAAUUCCAGGUGUAGCGGUGAAAUGCGUAGAGAUCUGGAGGAAUACCGGUGGCGAAGGCGGCCCCCUGGACAAAGACUGACGCUCAGGUGCGAAAGCGUGGGGAGCAAACAGGAUUAGAUACCCUGGUAGUCCACGCUGUAAACGAUGUCGAUUUGGAGGUUGUGCCCUUGAGGCGUGGCUUCCGGAGCUAACGCGUUAAAUCGACCGCCUGGGGAGUACGGCCGCAAGGUUAAAACUCAAAUGAAUUGACGGGGGCCCGCACAAGCGGUGGAGCAUGUGGUUUAAUUCGAUGCAACGCGAAGAACCUUACCUGGUCUUGACAUCCACAGAACUUUCCAGAGAUGGAUUGGUGCCUUCGGGAACUGUGAGACAGGUGCUGCAUGGCUGUCGUCAGCUCGUGUUGUGAAAUGUUGGGUUAAGUCCCGCAACGAGCGCAACCCUUAUCCUUUGUUGCCAGCGGUUAGGCCGGGAACUCAAAGGAGACUGCCAGUGAUAAACUGGAGGAAGGUGGGGAUGACGUCAAGUCAUCAUGGCCCUUACGACCAGGGCUACACACGUGCUACAAUGGCAUAUACAAAGAGAAGCGACCUCGCGAGAGCAAGCGGACCUCAUAAAGUAUGUCGUAGUCCGGAUUGGAGUCUGCAACUCGACUCCAUGAAGUCGGAAUCGCUAGUAAUCGUAGAUCAGAAUGCUACGGUGAAUACGUUCCCGGGCCUUGUACACACCGCCCGUCACACCAUGGGAGUGGGUUGCAAAAGAAGUAGGUAGCUUAACCUUCGGGAGGGCGCUUACCACU